UCGAGAAUAAUUCACAAUGGGGGAACCCUCGAUGGUGCAACGCCGCGUGGAGGAUAAGGUCUUCGGAUCGUAAACUCCUGUCAUCUGGGAGCUAGUACCAGAAGAGGAAGGGACGGCUAACUUCGUGCCAGCAGCCGCGGUAAUACGAAGGUCCCAAGCGUUGUUCGGAAUCACUGGGCGUAAAGGGAGCGUAGGCGGCGUGGUAAGUCAGAUGUGAAAUCCCAAGGCUCAACCUUGGAACUGCAUCCGAUACUGCCAUGCUAGAGGUUUGGAGAGGUAACUGGAAUUCUCGGUGUAGCAGUGAAAUGCGUAGAUACCGAGAGGAACAUUCGUGGCGAAAGCGAGCUACUGGACUUUGGCUGACGCUGAGGCUCGAAGGCUAGGGAGCGAAAGGGAUUAGAUA
rnacentral:rRNA from 1 species